rnacentral:lncRNA from 10 species
UUUACCCAUUAUAGCCUGAUUCUCAGCCCUGCUACACAUAUGACUCACAAGAGAGCUUUUAAGAAAUACUUAUGCCAGGGCCCCACCCUUAAGAAUUCAGAGUCAGUUGGUCUCAUGUGAUAUUGAUAUUUCUAAAUGAAAGGUUCUUGUUAUGAUCUGAGCUAUUUAGGGUGUUACCUCAUAACACCCCUAAAAUUCAUAUAUUGAAGUCCUAAACCCCAGGGCCUCAGAAUGUGACUGUAUUUGGAGAUAGCAUAUUUAAAGAGGUAAUUAAGUUAGAAUGAGGUUAUUAGGGUAGGCCCUAAUCUGACUGAUGUCCUUCUAAGAAGAGGAAAUUAGGACACAGAGACAGACACGUGGAAGAAAUGUCAUGUGAAGACAGUGAGAAGACAGCUGUCUAUAAACCAAGAAGAGAGGCUUCAGAAGAAACCCGCCCUGUGAACACUUUAAUCUCAGACUCCUAUUCUUCAGAACUUUGGUUUUUGAGUCUCCAGCUUCACCUCUCAACUCCUGCCACUUUAUGGAACACCCUCAGUGCCCAGGGGUCUCUUGUCCUUGGUCCUGGUUCUCCCUGGGCUGCCUUGAGACUUUGCAGUGUGCCAAUAAGAGGAUGUAUAUGAGACCCUUACUCAUGUAUUUUUCUCUUGUGAAGCUGAUCACACUGGACUUUUAAGUCCUUUCUUCCUGACAUUCAGUCUUUGACUCUGAAUUAGCUGAGGCAUGAGAAGUUCACCACAGGAAGGUCCUGCCCUUUGUUUGCUCCUAAAGGUUCCUUUAAAGUUCAACUUGACCAACACACCAUUGCAAGCACUCCAGAGGAGAAGACAGCCUUGCUGUGUCAAAUCCACUUUAGUUUGUAAAUUUCUUGUCAGUCACUUUUAUGCCCCCACUGAAUAGGACAGUGUGAAGCAUGGAUUAAGUAUGCAAUAAAUGGUUGUUGAAUAAAUCAGAAAAUUAAAUGCAUUCUGCACA